AACGCGAAGAACCUUACCAGGUCUUGACAUCCCGAUGACCGCUUCAGAGAUGGAGUUUCUCUUCGGAGCAUUGGAGACAGGUGGUGCAUGGUUGUCGUCAGCUCGUGUCGUGAGAUGUUGGGUUAAGUCCCGCAACGAGCACAACCCUUGAUCUUAGUUGCCAGCACUUCGGGUGGGCCCUCUAAGAUGACUGCCGGUGACAAACCGGAGGAAGGUGGGGAUGACGUCAAAUCAUCAUGCCCCUUAUGACCUGGGCUACACACGUACUACAAUGGUCGGUACAACGGGCAGCGAAGGAGCGAUCUGGAGCAAAUCCUUAAAAGCCGAUCUCAGUCCGGAUUGCAGGCUGCAACUCGCCUGCAUGAAGUCGGAAUUGCUAGUAAUCGCGGAUCAGCAUGCCGCGGUGAAUACGUUCCCGGGUCUUGUACACACCG
rnacentral:rRNA from 1 species